rnacentral:rRNA from 1 species
UGGGGAAUAUUGCACAAUGGGCGGAAGCCUGAUGCAGCGACGCCGCGUGGGGGAUGAAGGCCUUCGGGUUGUAAACUCCUUUCGACAGGGACGAAGCUUUUGUGACGGUACCUGUAUAAGAAGCACCGGCUAACUACGUGCCAGCAGCCGCGGUAAUACGUAGGGUGCGAGCGUUGUCCGGAAUUACUGGGCGUAAAGAGCUCGUAGGUGGUUUGUCGCGUCGUCUGUGAAAUUCCGGGGCUUAACUCCGGGCGUGCAGGCGAUACGGGCUGACUUGAGUGCUGUAGGGGAGAUUGGAAUUCCUGGUGUAGCGGUGAAAUGCGCAGAUAUCAGGAGGAACACCGAUGGCGAAGGCAGGUCUCUGGGCAGUAACUGACGCUGAGGAGCGAAAGCAUGGGUAGCGAACAGGAUUAGAUACCCUGGUAGUCCAUGCCGUAAACGGUGGGCGCUAGGUGUAGGGGGCUUCCACGUCUUCUGUGCCGUAGCUAACGCAUUAAGCGCCCCGCCUGGGGAGUACGGCCGCAAGGCUA